GAUGAACGCUAGCUACAGGCUUAACACAUGCAAGUCGAGGGGAAACGAUAGAGAAAGCUUGCUUUUUCUAGGCGUCGACCGGCGCACGGGUGAGUAACGCGUAUCCAACCUGCCCAUCACUUGGGGAUAACCUUGCGAAAGUAAGACUAAUACCCAAUGACGUCUCUAGAAGACAUCUGAAAGAGAUUAAAAGAUUUAUCGGUGAUGGAUGGGGAUGCGUCUGAUUAGCUUGUUGGCGGGGUAACGGCCCACCAAGGCGACGAUCAGUAGGGGUUCUGAGAGGAAGGUCCCCCACAUUGGAACUGAGACACGGUCCAAACUCCUACGGGAGGCAGCAGUGGGGAAUAUUGGGCAAUGGGCGCAAGCCUGACCCAGCAACGCCGCGUGAAGGAAGAAGGCUUUCGGGUUGUAAACUUCUUUUGUCAGGGAAGAUGAACAGACUGUACCUGACGAAUAAGCCACGGCUAACUACGUG
rnacentral:rRNA from 1 species